AAGUCGUAACAAGGUUUCCGUAGGUGAACCUGCGGAAGGAUCAUUAGAGUAUUUACCCACUCUUUGUAUGCUCACUCUGGGUCGCCUUCUCGUCACUGAGAUGGCGUGGCCCGUAAGACUGGUGGACUUUGAGCCACCGGUCGCUUUUCUUGACACUUUAUUUCUUUUUUUCAUGACUGAGACAAAAGUUAGCAUUAAUUGCUGAGACAACUUUUAGCAACGGAUCUCUAGGCUCUC
rnacentral:misc_RNA from 1 species